rnacentral:rRNA from 1 species
CCUACGGGAGGCAGCAGUGAGGAAUAUUGGUCAAUGGGCGCAAGCCUGAACCAGCCAAGUAGCGUGAAGGAUGACUGCCCUACGGGUUGUCAACUUCUUUUAUAAGGGAGUAACGUGAGGCACGUGUACCUUUUUGUAUGUACUUUAUGAAUAAGGAUCGGCUAAAUACGUGACCGCAGCCGCGGUAAUACGGAGGAUCCGGGCGUUAGCCGGAUUUAUUGGGGUUAAAGGGAGCGGAGAUGGGUUGGUAAGUCAGUUGUGAAAGUUUGCGGCCCAACCGUAAAAUUGCAAUUGAUAAUGGCAGGCUUGAGUACAGUUGAGGGAGGCGGAAUUCGUGGUGGAGCGGUGAAAUGCUUAGAUAUUACGAAGAACUCCGAUUGCGAAGGCAGCCUACUAAACUGCCACUGACAUUGAUGCUCGAAAGCGUGGGUAUCAAACAGGAUUAGAUACCCCAGUAGUC